ensembl:lncRNA
UUUUUCAGAUGAGAAAAUUGAAAUUCAAAGAGGAUGAAUGCUAACUCCAAAGAUCCAUGCCUGUGGACUGUAGCCUGCCAGACUCCUCUGUCCAUGGGAUUCUCCAGGCAAGAAAAUUAAAAUGGGAUGCCCUGCCCUCCUCCAGGGAAUCUUCCUGAUCCUGGAAUGAACCCGCAACUCUUAUGUCUCCUGCAUUGGCAGAUGGGCUCUUUACCACUGGUGCCAUCUGGGAAGGCCCCCAUUCUGCUAUAGCUGGAUGCCUGGAGAGACUGAAGGACUGCUCGUUCUAGCUCCCUAGGAUCCCCACUUCAAGGUCAGAGGCUGCAGGAGUCUUUUCUCUAGAGAUACAUCAUGAUUUUUAAGUACCCAGGCUUGGGAACUAUUUUUAGUCACCAAUGUCACCCCACAAUGUUGCGGCUCCAGUGAUCACCACCCAGGCAACACUCAGGCAGACAGCUGAGUAAUGUGGGCAGCCAGCACUUGACCUGCAAAGAGGGACAGGAGAGACAGAAAGAAACAGAUGCUCCAUGUCUUCAUUUCAGCUGGCUGAAUGGUCCUGGUACCCUGAUUCCUGCUGGUUGCUGCCACUAUGGACUUUUGCUGAGGUCUUUCUGCUCUAGCUUCCAUGCUUUCUGAUUUUGAGUAGGGCUACUACUUUGGUCCCCCCACAUUCUAUUUUUAUACUGUGGGUGCUGAGCCCAGUCCCAGAUCCUAGCACGUUGGUCAUAGGAUGGUCAGGAAAGGAGAGGACAAGAUGGGCAGAAGGGAAAGAAGAGAGAGCCUUCCUAACUUCUGUACCCACAGAAACUGGGAAGGGUGCCUGGGAGCCUCAUGUAGCCUUUGCAAAGUCUAUAAUUCGGGAGAGGACGCAGCAGGUGAAGAUUUCCUGGGGACUCUUCUGGAGAAGAAGCAGAGGAAAGAGAACAGGAACCCAGAUCUAGGACAAUAGGGUUUCCAGCCAGGAGGUUGUGCCAGCCUGGGCCCCACAGCCCUUACCCAGUGAGGUGGUGGCCGUACGUUCAGGUGGUGACUCCAUGUGCCCCUUGGGGUGAUGAUGAAGCUCUCUGUGCCCUGCAACCUGUGCCCAAGUGUUGGAAGUUCUUCACCUGAUUCUAGGUUCAAACUCAUUCAACUCUUUAAAAAGGUUCAAUUACAAAGUAACCUGUAGGACUUCCCUG